GAUACAAUCCAGGGCUAAUAUUACAUGUAUUGUGAAGCUGUUGAUGUAAUGUCACCCCCGACAGCGUAGGGUACUUAAUAAUGUUAUUCGACUUCGUGUACGUGCCAUGCCGUAACCUUGCGCGGACUGUUUGUACAGGACUGUGUUAUGUCGCCUACACCUCGCGCACGUAUAGGGAAGUACGGGGAACUCGUGAGUAGAUAUAUAUAUAUAUCAUCAAUACCAGGGCCGUAGCCAGAGGUAAAUUUUGUAGGAGGCAAAUGUUGUGAGUUAAAGAACAAGGAGCGAAGCGAGCCAAUAGGGCGUGGGGCAUGGGGCCCGCUUAAGGGUCCGAGAAGCCAACGGUUAUAUGGUGCUCUGUGGUGCAUUCUCUGCAUAUAUUACAUCUAAAUUUCCAUUUCAGCUGGCGGACUACAGGUUCAAUAAUGUGGUUAAUAAUUUUGGUUUCUCGUGAUUUUUUUUUGAGAAAUUUUGUAGGAGGCAUUUGCCUCUUAUUGCCUAAUGGUAGCUACGGCCCUGAUCAAUACUACAAGUGCCUGCUCACGCGCUGGUGUGUUGAUAUGGUGCCUUUGUGUUUCGCAGCGAAUGACGACGUCUGUGUAACGAGGGGACGGCCAUCCAGCCUAGGUUACUGAAUGUUUCUUUCUCAUCGGCUUUCUGUUACACUGCUAUGAUGUGCUAUGAUGUGCUAAGCUUGCAAUCACUUACGUUGAAAUGUAUACUGCACUUGGUAUCUGUAAGCAGGUAUGUCUGUAAGCAGGUGCGUCUGUUACCAGGUGUAUCUGUAACCAGGUAUAUCUGUAACCAGGUGUAUCUCUAACCAGGUGUAUCUCUAACCGGGUAUACCCGUCUGUAAGUAGGUAUAUAACCAGGUGUAUCCCUAACCAGGUAUAUCUGUAAGCCGGUCGGUCGCCACACACUGUAACCUAACUUAAAAGAUGUUUGCAUAUCAUUGCCAGAAUUGUCGUGUAAAAAAAUAUUGUGAACCGAA